CAUGGAUAGGGGUCGCUGGUGACGCUGAUUAUCUUUCAUCUCUUUCUUUCUUCGUUUUUCAGUGCGAGUCCGGUUCCGCAGCUGUCAAGUGUCAAUCGUGAUUCGUAGUAUUUUUUCUGUAUUUUUUCUUUGAAUUUGUUUCUUGAAAGCUUUUAAUUUCCAAUUCUUCUGAAUUAUUAAAAAUAGUUUAAACAAUUUAACCAAUCUGUUAUUAAAACAAUAUACAUUCCUAUGAAAUAUGGAUGGACCACAACCACCAGGAGAUUACAUCUAGCCUUCGGUAAAAAUAACUUUAAUAAUCCAAACUUUAUAAAUAAACUCUACGAUCAUAGAUCCCAUCGAAGAACCUUAAUGAUGAUUUUGAUGAUACAACUUUGAAAUCGGCGAAUAUGGAACCACUUCCAUCUUCUUUGCAAAGAUUUUCCACUCGUGGUGGCCUCUCUUAACUUGCGCAGUAUUUGCCAACAGUUUACCCAGGCAGUUCUGGCCGUAAGAGUCCAACAAUGUUGAGAGCUAAGGAGAAAAGUCCCCCAACAACUGAUUGGGUUAAAUUGGAGCCCAAUGAAGAAAACUAUGAAGAUUUGGAAGAUCCUAUAACUGAAACAUCUACAUUCAUUGGCUGCGUUUGGCUUGUUCUUCCGAUUACCUGCCUAUUCAGAUGUUUUGCUUCGGGAUAAACUGAGAGCUUUAUCUUUAUUGAGACUUGUCUUGGGUGUCACUGGAGAUGGUGAAGGCAGUAUCUACUAAUAGAUUACAUAAUAUAGCUUAUCACACCCACCAUCACUUCCAACAUUACUGUUUGAAGUAUUUCGACAACUUUUAAUAGUUCACCACUAACAACAGAUGAUGGUAUGCUAUUAAGAAGAAUGAUUGAAGAAGUUGGCGCCAUGCAUCUUGUACUUAAUUUUUUGGUUUUAUUUACAAGUAAAUCAAUUGAAUAACGAUACCUGGAAGUGAUGAACAAAAUGCAAUUCCAUAUAUACGAAAUGAUUGUUGAAUUAGAGAAGAACGGUUUUCGUUUUGCAAUUUUGCAUCAUUUUGAAAAGAUGGUAUACAAGGCUGGUGAUCGCUAUCAUUCGUCGGGAGUGAAACGCGUCGCUCAAGAAGCUGUUACUCUCUCCACAAGUUUGCCAUUAUCAUAUAGCAGUUCUGUUUUUGUACGCUGUGUUACUGAUAGACUGCACAUUAUGAAAGUACUGAUAACUGUCCCAGCCGAUACUCCCUACGCGAAUGGAUGCUUUGAGUUUGAUGUCUUCUUUCUCCCGGACUUUUUAAAUUUACCUUUGUUAAUUAAUUUAGAAACAAAUGGUCGGCAUUCUGUUAGAUGUAAUCCUGUUUUGAAUACGUGGCAUGGAUGACCAGAAGAAAAAUGGAACGCACAAACUUCCAGUUUUUUGCAGGUUCUUGUAUCAAUUCAGUCUCUAAUUCUGGUUCCUGGACCAAUGAGCCAGGCUUUGAUAGAAGUCGAGGUACUCCAAGUAGAACACAUUCAUCUCGAGAGUAUAAUAGCAACAUUUACAAGGUGUGUGUUCGCUGGGCUAUGCUUGAACAGAUCCGAAAUCCAAGUUCAUGUUUCAAAGAGGCCUUAAAAUGUUCCAUAUCGAGUGGAAAAUGAAAAAGUGUUGCCUGCUUUUUAUUUCCCGGAUUGCAUAUGGUGAUUUAAUUGAGCCAUCUCGAAUAAUGCCAGGUCGUACACAAAUUUGUGCCAACAUAGAAACAAACAACUAAACCAAACCAGAUAACGAUUAAUCUCAACGCGAAGUUUACCUGAAGCGUGUGAAAGUACUAGAAGACACCAAUGAAAUGCAACAGAAAUUCAAUGACUUCAUGCAAGGUUUUCAUAUAAUUAAAGAGAGCUCAAGGAAAUGUAUCGAAUGACCCAAAAAAGUGGUGAUGUUGAGCCAGAGUAAGCUGAGUCUAUGGAUCCAUUUACCGCAAAAAAAAAAAACCUGGAAGAAUAAAUCGAAAUUGUCUGGUGGUGAGAAGAUACCGCUGCAUUUUAAUGUUUUUUGAAUUAUAUAUUUAUUAUUCGAUACAUCUUAUAAUCUAUCACAAUUUAUUUGUGUUUUAAUACAAUACAUAUCAUAUAUUUAAAUUUUUUGAUACAUUGAUCUAUGAUCUAUCACAAUUUAUCACAAUUUUUUAAAAUACAGAUAGUUAUCAUUAUUUUUUUUUAGAAUACAUAUAAAAUAAUCUUUAAUUUCAUUAAAUUAUAAAACCAAUGAGAAAUUAAGAAAAAUUGAUGAAUUAAGAAAAAUUAAUUAGUUUUCAUUUCCUUUAAUAGUGUUGGUUAUUUAUUUUUUUUUUUUCUGUGGUACUAACAAAAUAAUGUACCUAUGUGUAUUUAUUUAGAGAUUAAUAAAUAAAUCAAAAGGCGAAAUAUUUUCUUCUUUCUUUUUAAACAAAUGGGCUGUUAGGUACAUAAACGUUGUUUAACUUUAAACAACAUCCUUAAAUUUAGAAAAUGUGUAAAAAACAUUGUUUGUUGUUGUCUGCAACCAGACAUGUACACAAGAAUAUAUUGUCUUAAGCUUAAAUAAUGUGAUAUUUACUUUUAUUAAAUAAAGCAUAUAUUUACCCUCAAUUUUGAAAAAAUUUUAACACUGUCUUAGUUGACAAAAACCUAAUAAAUAUUAUUGAUAAAGUUUAACAGCAGAAUUGUUUUCAUUUGUUUUUGAACACCUAAAUUUACUGAUUAUUGAACAAAAUAAGUCUGCUAAAUUGUUGACGAAUGUGCUUUUUUGGUUCCCGAAUUUUUUUCGCUUCAUGGUUUCUUCGUAACUUAAUAUACAAGGAUGUUAUUUCAUCAAGUAGUUGCUGGCGGACAUCGGACGCUGGGUUAACU